rnacentral:lncRNA from 1 species
CUGAGCAUUCCAUAACUUCAACACUCAAGCUGUAUCAAUGUACAAUAAAACCCAUUCUACAAAAGAAUUCGCUAACACCACAUAAAUGAAGCAUUCCACAACUUCAACAAACUCAACUCGAGCAGUAUAAAUAUACACAUAAAAUCCAUUCCACACAAGAAUUCGUAUGAGGUCCUAACACCACACAAAUGAAGCAUUCCGCAACUUUAGCAAGCUAACCUCAAGCAAUAUAAAUGUACACACAAAAUCCAUUCCACAACUUCAACAAGCUAAACUCAAGCAGUAUAAUUUGUCCAGACCCACUUUGUUCGAAAUGGAGUUUACCAUACACUCACUGAGUCACUGAUUUUUCAAAAUAGCAAGUAAAGCCCAAACUUUUUAGAGAUAAUACUAGUUGCAGUGUGUCACCAGUGAUGGGUGUGGGUGAUUUUACAAUUGGCGACGAGGCACGGGAAGGAAUUAGCGCUCUCAAUGUCUCUCACACGCGAAACAGAAAGUGAAUAGCUACUAACCUGGAGAGAGCUAUAUCUUAUGUGAUUGUCUUUUCUUCGCCAGAGGUAGUUGUGCCGACGAGAUUUAUUUAGUUGGACCUUAGAGGUGCGGAUCGUGAGAGAGGAGUGCAAGAUGAAGGGAAGAUGGUUUGAUUUGGGGCAAAGUGCUUUUGGCCAAUUUUGGAGGGUUUAUUCAAAUUAAUUUGUGAGCUGGCGAGAUUUUC